UACAGAGGUCUCAAGCGUUGUUCGGAUUCAUUGGGCGUAAAGAGCUCGUAGGCGGUUUGUCGCGUCUGCUGUGAAAACUCGGGGCUUAACCCCGGGCCUGCAGUGGGUACGGGCAGACUGGAGUACUGCAGGGGAGACUGGAAUUCCUGGUGUAGCGGUGGAAUGCGCAGAUAUCAGGAGGAACACCGGUGGCGAAGGCGGGUCUCUGGGCAGUAACUGACGCUGAGGAGCGAAAGCGUGGGGAGCGAACAGG
rnacentral:rRNA from 1 species